GCUAGGGAUAGGUGCUUUGCUAUAAAUAACAAGAAAUAUUUGUGGACAGCACUAGUAAGAGCAACAUUGAAGACAGAACUUUGCUCCCUAAUUUCAGUUACUUCUCCUUUUGGGGGUGUCACAUCAUCUGGUCCCAUGAGGAACCAUGAGAAAUACAUCAGAUUAAAGGUAGCACAGAGUAACAUAUACUGACUUACAACACUGAAAUAGAAAAUGAAGAGUUGCUAAUGAACAAAGGCACCCUAUUGUGUUGGAACAUGUAAGUAAAAGAGACACAAGCAUGAAAUGAUGAAUAAAGCCUAGCUUUUUCUAAGACCCAGGGCAGGGUGACACAAAACCAACAUGACCAAGAAACUGCAAAUCCAGCAGGAAAAAUACAGAAGUUGAGUAACUGAAACUCAUGCAUGUGUAAAGUCUGGAUUACCAAAAAUCGAAAGGGUUGAUGUGCUAAAAGCCAUUUGGAUAAAGAUUAAAUAAUCUGCAAUAUAGAAAUAUUGAAGUGAGCAUGGGCCCAAACUGGAGAAACACCGGACCAAAAACUGAAGAAUGGGACUGAAGGACCAGACCUACGGGUCAUGGAAGAUGGAAGAACUUUCUGGUGCCCCAGAAUGUGGUAACUUGGGCCCAUUUA